rnacentral:rRNA from 1 species
ACCCGCGGCUGGACCGUGUAUAAGUCUCCUGGAAUGGAGCGUCAUAGAGGGUGAGAAUCCCGUCUUUGACACGGACUACCAGGGCAUUGUGGUGCGCUCUCGAAGAGUCGAGUUGUUUGGGAAUGCAGCUCUAAAUGGGUGGUAAAUUCCAUCUAAAGCUAAAUAUUGGCGAGAGACCGAUAGCGAACAAGUACCGUGAGGGAAAGAUGAAAAGAACUUUGGAAAGAGAGUUAAACAGUACGUGAAAUUGCUGAAAGGGAAACGCUUGAAGUCAGUCGCGUUAUCCGGGGAUCAGCCUUGCUUUUGUUAGGUGUACUUCCUGGAUGACGGGUCAGCAUCAGUUUCGACCACUGGAAAAAGACUUGGGGAAUGUGGCACCUUCGGGUGUGUUAUAGCCUCUUGUCGUAUGCAGUGGUUGGGACUGAGGAACUCAGCACGCCGCAAGGCCGGGUUUCGACCACGUUCGUGCUUAGGAUGCUGGCAAAAUGGCUUUAAGCGACCCGUCUUGAAACACGGACCAAGGAGUCUAACAUGCUUGCGAGUGUUUGGGUGGAAAACCCGAGCGCGCAAUGAAAGUGAAAGUUGGGAUCUCUGUCGUGGAGAGCACCGACGCCCGGACCAGAUGUUUACUGACGGAUCUGCGGUAGAGCACGUAUGUUGGGACCCGAAAGAUGGUGAACUAUGCCUGAAUAGGGCGAAGCCAGAGGAAACUCUGGUGGAGGCUCGUAGCGAUUCUGACGUGCAAAUCGAUCGUCGAUUUGGGUAUAG